rnacentral:rRNA from 1 species
UACGUAGGGGGCAAGCGUUGUCCGGAAUCAUUGGGCGUAAAGAGCGUGUAGGCGGCUCGAUAAGUCUGCUGUGAAAGUCCAGGGCUCAACCCUGGAAGGCCGGUGGAAACUGUCGGGCUAGAGUCCGGAAGAGGCGAGUGGAAUUCCCGGUGUAGAGGUGAAAUUCGUAGAUAUCGGGAGGAACACCAGUGGCGAAGGCGGCGACCUGGGCCAAUAUUGACGCUGAGGUGCGAAAAGCGUGGGGAGCAAACAGG